CCCAGCAAAUCGUAGACAUGGAGAAGAAAGGUCAGGACCAAAUGAGCUCUGUAAAGCACUGGGGAAAGUGCUGGGGACAGCUACGAGGAAGUGGAACUGACAGUGAGGCCCUGGAGAAGGACGACUGUGAAACUGGGACAACCCCCGAGUGUGAUAUUUGGCAAGAAUUCCAGGGCCCUGCAUUCUCCCCUGUUUUCUGUCAAGUACUGAUGUAGUCUGAGCCCUUUACCAGACGCAGCUGCCUCAUUUGGACUUUCAACUACUAGAAUUCUGAGCUAAAUAAACUUCCAUUUAUAAACUG